ACUUCCGGCGGCUCCCAGGACCACUCGUUCGGGGACGGGGCGCCGGGCAUCUUGGCCAGAACCCCGGAUCUUGGAACCGGGGCUAGUGAAGGCCACAUCGAGUUCUCCCUCCCUGUCCCGACGGGCCGGAGGGCCUGUAAACCUCUUGUGUUCAGUCUGGUGCCUCCUGCCGGUAGUCACUGGGCUGUGGAACAGGAAGUCCCGCCCCCUCCCCAAGUGAGGAAAACAGAAAAAUCGGAGAGGUCAGUUGCAAACCAGGGCAGAUGAGGGUCAAUCUGGGUGGACGACUGGCGGCGUCCGACCCGGAGGGCAAGGCGGGGUUUGCGGGGCUCCCCAAGCGGAUUCCUGCCGGACGGUCCGCCGCCCUCCCGACCCCGUGCCCACCAGUCCACCCCCGCUCGCCCGCCUUCGCGGAUCCCGGGGGAGGCCGCCGCCCUGGGCCCGAGUGGGCCGAGCGGAGCCUUGCGCUGGUCUUGUGGGGACAGGGUCUCUCUGCCGCGCCGGGCGCGUGCGCGGCUCCAGGGACUCAGGAAGACCUGGCAGGCGCCUCAAAAAAAGGAAUCCUCGGAGCCACGGGCCGAAUUCCGAUACUAACAGGGAGGCAGAGAUGCCAAAGGUGGUUGUUGGCAGGUUUGGCAAGAGAAACCGAAGACACCUCGGGCGUUGAAGACGUCCCCGCCGAACCGUUUUUGUAAACGUGAACGGCACAGCGCAAGAAGGGUUAGGAAGACAGGCACGACGGAGCCUAGUAGCCACCGACCCCUCCUACCCCUUUCCGGGGGACUUCGGGAGACCUGAAGCUUACAGCUUUUCUCAGGAGACUCAGAAGUCCGGAGAGAGGACCGCAGCUUGAAAAGUCUGCAGAGAGGAGCGGGCCGCUGUGCCACCCCGCUUAGGGUCAGUGUAAGGACAGAGCUUGCUAAGGAGUUUUGACUUUAUCUCGAAGAUGUAGGGAGGGGAAUUUCCUAAAUAAUCAGCUUUGUAUAAUUUUUAAGAAAGUGGAGUUUUUCCAGGAUAGUAUUACAAUGAUAGGCUUAUCUCAACCUGCUGGAUCAGAUAGAUGGUAAGAAUCUGCUUGCAGUAUGGGAGAUCCAGGUUCGAUCUCUGGGUGGGGAAGAUCCCCUGGAGAAGGGAAUGGCAACCCACUCCAGUAUUCUUGCCUGGAGAAGCCCAUGGACAGAGAAGCCUGAUGGGCUACAGCCCCAAAGAGGGAGACACAACUGAGGGACUAACAUUUUAACUUCUCAACCAAAUCAAUUCUCAAGGGCAGUUCCAGAUCAGUGAUUCUGAAUCAGAACAUUCAGGAAAUUGCAGUUUAGAAGAGUCAACUAUUCCCAAGAUCACACAGCUAGAAAAGGUGGACCUCGCCUGUAAACUCUACAGUCAGCCUUUUCCAGUCCACCAUGCGUCUUUUGGAUGACAAGGAUUGAGCCCAGACUCCCACAGUGCAUUCUGUUAUCACUUCUGAGUCCCCUCUGGCUUAUGACAGGUUUGUACCUCUCUUUGCCUUCCAUGAACCGGACCCUCUUGUAGAGUGCUAAUCGGUUGUUAUGUAAAAUGUCCUCCCGAUUAACUUUGUCUGAUGCUCUUUGUCUGAUGCUUUCUCAUGAUUGGAAGUCAUGCAUUUUUAGCAGGAGUACCAUGAGAUGGCGUACCCAUUUUUAUGGUUGCUCCAUGAAUUAACUAUUGGGAAAGUGGGACUUCUUUUGUUUUUAUUUCUAUUUUUAAUCAACAUAUAAAUAAAUAUCUGUACUCAACUAUUACCUGAAAGUCUCAGUAUUUGUGUACUCAACUUUCAAGGUACUCCAGGAAAUAGUAUUAAUGGAUAUCCUAAGGUGUAGAAAGCGGAGAAGGCGA